CACGAUUCCCAUUCCAUCCCAAAAGGACUCAUUGUUCCGACAUAAUUAUGAGUGUGCCGUUAUGCAAAGAGCCAAUUUAGAAUGGUUAGUUCUGGCUUUUAAAUUUUACAUAACUACAAUUUACCACAAUUGCAAAUUAAAAAUUAGGCUCCCUACUGCAUUAAAAAUUAGGCUCCCUUUUUGGAAGGAUUUUUGUGCAUCUAGGAAGCCAUAACCGGCAAUUUAUUUCAGAUUAAACAGACUGGCAUUGAUUUCAAUUAAGACAAAAUAUCAUAAACAUAGAAAACCCUGUCAACCGAGUUUGUGUACAAAAUACAGUAAUAAGG